UUAUUGAAAUUAUGAUGUAAUACAAUACACAAUGUUGCAAAAGGGUCCAUUGCAAACUCUUAAACUGAAAACUUCAAAAUUUCACAAAAAAAUUGUUCUAUUGGCCAACUCUACAAUUCUGUAUGAACUCAACAAUGGUCAAGCUGGGCUAGCCUAAAGUUAACCUGUGCCACUGGUGAUUGCCUCUGUCAAACAACAAAAACACACUAGACUCAGCUAACCUGCAGAUUUUUAAAACUCUUAACACACAGCCUCAUCUUUCUUCCGAAAAGCAUAAACAAACGUUCCUCCCGUCCUCUUGAUAUGUUUCCCAUGCGUAUAUCAUCAUCCUGUUGGUCUUGUACAGCAAAAUGCUAAUUUUCUGCUUUGAAAUUGGUUAAAGAUAAUUAUACACUUCUAUAAGUUUUACAUGACCUGAAUAAUCUGCAUGCGAGAGAAUGAAUGAGUCUCACAUCAAUAGAUUUAUCACUGUGUGUAAUUGUUCUAAGCCUGUGUGUCAGUCAGUGACGGCUUAUCAUUGCAAAGACCAACAGUCAGAGCAGAAACACUUUUUAAAAAAAAAUUAUACAUAGUCCAGAUCUGCAGGAAGGAAAUGAAAAUGACGGGCAUCCCAAGGGAGAAUGUGCUGUCCUAUCAAAACCAUGUACUCUCUGUUAAGAGUUGGGCACUCUGCUGUGUUGUUUUGAAAAAGCAGGGGGGUUAUCUCAGGCCCAAUGGGAUAAAAUAUUAAUGAAACCUGUGUUUACUGUUACAACACUAAAUAGUUAAGAGGGUUUGGGGUUUUGUCAAGUUGCUGGCUUACUUGCACUGUAACCAUGACCAUUGAUCUUUUUAACCUUUUAUAAAGAUGCAGGAAAAAGGAAACAGUGCAUUAAUGCAUUUGAAACAAAAUAUUAAGUAAGGCUUUGAUAACUAUCUUUUAUUCCCUUUAGCUGUGAUGAGUUUUUAAUAAGAAAAAUCCAUGUGUGAGAGUCUUAAACCUGGAUUAAUUGUAAUUUUGGGGGGAAAGGUAGUGAGGUGAAAUGGGCUGAAGCUACUGUUGAAGUCCAGUUUUGUUUCCUUGAAGACAAAACAAGAAAUACAAAAGAGAACAGAAAAGAUUAGAAAAAAUGCAGCUUCUGCCUUCAGCACUGACUGUAUCUUGCAACCUUGCUGUUGGAGAGAGGUAGGCAUAGCUCUCCCUUGGCCACUGCGAUAUCAAAGUUAUAUCAGCCCUGAGCUGUUUAUGGCACAGUUUAACUGCCUCACUGGUCAAACUUACAGUAGUGUCGCUAAAUGAGGUGAGAGAGAGGAAAGAAGAAACUAAGUGGGGAAGGAAAAGGAUGCACAAAGGAGGUAGGGGCAGCACAUCUCACAUUCCAGAUGUUCAGGAGUCAACCAAGGCAGUUGGUGAUAGCACUGGUUCCCUCUUUGAUAGAGUAAGGACAGCAUGCCUUUCACGAUCAGGAUGGUGAGGGUCCAAUGGCGGUGGUGUGUGUCCCAUGAGGUGGCAGAUGUGAUGAGGCUUGCUCCUUUCAGUCCACCUGUUCCCACUGUGACCCCCCCCCAACAAUGUCCAAGAAAGGGUGACGACAUCACAUUAACCCAUCAAUUGUAAACACUUCCUCCAGUUUCUACAAUCUCUUAGCUCUUUAUGGCACCCUAGCAGCACCCUAGUCAGCUGGUGACUUCACCAGCAGCCUUGAAUAUUCUUUAUCAUCAGUCUUUGAAUCUAAACAAUCCAGUUUGUACCACUCUAACUUUUA